rnacentral:tRNA from 1 species
GGUCGGUUGGCUCAGUGGUUAGAGCGUAGGUCUCGUAACCGAAAGGUCGCGGGAUCGAAUCCCGCUAGAGGCUG